AAUGGGUCAGCGACUUAUAUUCUGUAGCAAGGUUAACCGAAUAGGGGAGCCGAAGGGAAACCGAGUCUUAACUGGGCGUUAAGUUGCAGGGUAUAGACCCGAAACCCGGUGAUCUAGCCAUGGGCAGGUUGAAGGUUGGGUAACACUAACUGGAGGACCGAACCGACUAAUGUUGAAAAAUUAGCGGAUGACUUGUGGCUGGGGGUGAAAGGCCAAUCAAACCGGGAGAUAGCUGGUUCUCCCCGAAAGCU
rnacentral:rRNA from 1 species